rnacentral:rRNA from 1 species
UACGAAGGGGGCUAGCGUUGUUCGGAAUUACUGGGCGUAAAGCGCACGUAGGCGGAUAUUUAAGUCAGGGGUGAAAUCCCAGAGCUCAACUCUGGAACUGCCUUUGAUACUGGGUGUCUUGAGUGUGAUAGAGGUAUGUGGAACUCCGAGUGUAGAGGUGAAAUUCGUAGAUAUUCGGAAGAACACCAGUGGCGAAGGCGACUCGCUGGACAAGUAUUGACGCUGAGGUGCGAAAGCGUGGGGAGCAAACAGG